rnacentral:lncRNA from 1 species
AUGUCAGCGGUGAGUGGAGGAAGGCUAGAAGGCACCCCUGCUCUUUUCAAUUCUCUGUCUCUUUCUGGGCUGCGCAGGGCACAGAGGUGCAGAGGUUGGCGAUUUUGCUGGGGCCUGAUGGUUUGGGCAUGGAAGAGGCCCAGGUCAAAAGGAAGGAAAGAAGGGGAGAAGAGAAGGAAAGGAAGCAGUGAGGAAGGGGGGGAAGGAGGCUGGACAGGGGAACACUCUGCCUUCCGUGCCUUGCACUUCCUGAGGGGCAACNNNNNNNNNNNNNNNNNNNNCCCCAAAAUCAACUGGGCAGUCUGGGAUCUGGGGGAUCCACCUGUGGAGCAAGCAUGGGGGCUGCUGAGGCCUGGGGAGGCUGAGAAGGACUGAGGCUGAGCUCCUGGGGUGGCUGAGAUGGUGACAGAGAGGGGCAGGGUGGGACCUUCCAGAUGAGAGCUGGUAAGUCAGUAGGGAGAGUGGCCAGAGAAGGGACCCAACCUGGCAGUGGAGAACGGAGAUGAGGUGGACAAACGGAGCCC